ensembl:misc_RNA
CACCGUUUCAGUGGCAUUUAAAUCCCCGGCGCUCCUCAGUCUAGGUGACGCGCGGUCGCCCCCCCAGGCUGCCCGGGCCGCGGCGGCUGCUCCGGCCGCUGCCAGAGCUGACUUGGAGCACUGGG